rnacentral:rRNA from 1 species
GACGAACGCUGGCGGCGUGCUUAACACAUGCAAGUCGAACGAAGUGGCGAACGGGUGAGUAACGCGUCAUCAACCUGCCCUUCAGAGGGGGACAACAGUUGGAAACGAGUGCUAAUACCGCAUCCUAAGGAGCGGAUUGCGUGUGAUUAGCUAGUUGGAGGGGUAACGGCCCCGCAAGGCGAUGAUGAGUAGCCGGGCUGGAGGGGGUAACCGCCGCAUUGGGGCUGAGGCACGGCCCAGACUCCUACGGGAGGCAGCAGUGGGGAAACUUCCGCAAUGGACGAAAGUCUGACGGAGCAAAGCCGCGUGAGUGAUGACGGCCUUCGGGUUGUAAAGCUCUGUUAAUCGGGACGCGGUACCGGAAUAGAAAGCCACGGCUAACUACGUGCCAGCAGCCGCGGUAAUAC